GCAGCCUGCCACCAUCUUGGAAGUGGCUCACCACCGUCUUGGGAGUUCUGUGAACAAGGACCCCUGGUAACAUUUUGGCGACCACGAAGGGACAUCCAAAGCUCUUAACUAAUGCUUGUGAUGUUUAACGCCUGUCUUUUCAACUUGGUCUACUGAGUCUUCAAUACUGGUGACUGAGCUGCUUGAAGUGAACUCUGGACAAGGUGGAGAGCAUCUUCUUGAUUUAAGAUUCACAGUUUCUGAAAGGACCAUGGACUAAUUGGAUCACAAGCAAACUGAAACAUUACAGGAAAUAAUGCUGCAAAGCCGGGCAUAGUGACAUGCACCUGGAGUCCCAGCUACUUGGGAGGCUGAGGCAGGAGGAUUGCUUGAGCCCAGGAGUUCAAAGUUGCAGUGCACUAUCAUGGCACCUGCGAAGAGCCACUGCACUCGCACUCUAGCCAGGGGAGCAUAGUGACACUUCAUCUAUUACAAAAAAUUAUAUAAAAAUUAUAAAAAGAGAGAAUACUGAAUGAAUAUAUAUAUAUAUAUAGCCUUUGUAAAUUUUUCUUUAGCUUAUCUACCCAGGUGUUUGCAUUAUUUUACCAAAUAAUAGAAUUCACAUAAAUAUGCAGAGUUUUCAAAGAGACUGUAUUGAAGUUAAUGCUUGUGUACAUUAUUAUUUAGUGAAAAGUUAAAAAUGAUGGCAUAAUGUUUUGUUUCAUUUUCCCAUGUUAAUAGUAAGGUAUACCCAGAGUACAUUUCUUAUUAAGAAAAAAAAAGAUUGGGGUCACCUUGAUCAAAAAUUACCUGUAUACUAGUUCAGAUAUAUUAUAUAUGAACUACAGUUUAAGAAAUAUCAUCAAAUAUUAUUAAUAUAUUCUACUAUCUAAAAAUUCUGCUAUAGCAUUAUAUUUUAUGGCUAAAAAAGCUUGAUACUGGUUGUUACAGUAAAUCUUUACUAAUUUAUGAAGCAUCAAAUUCAGAUUUUUAAAAAUUAUGUCAAGCUCAAGCUAUUUAGAAUUCAGCAUAGUUUUAUAUACUACAUAAGAAGAAAACAGCUUAA
rnacentral:lncRNA from 10 species